rnacentral:rRNA from 1 species
AGACGAACCGUACGAACGUUAUUCGGAAUCACUGGGCUUAAAGAGUGCGUAGGCGGCCUGGCAGGUUGGGUGUGAAAUCCCUCGGCUCAACCGAGGAACUGCGCUCAAAACCGCCAGGCUUGAGGGAGAUAGAGGUGAGUGGAACUGAUGGUGGAGCGGUGAAAUGCGUUGAUAUCAUCAGGAACACCAGUGGCGAAAGCGGCUCACUGGGUCUCUUCUGACGCUGAGGCACGAAAGCUAGGGUAGCGAACGGGAUUAGAAACCCCAGUAGUCC